rnacentral:lncRNA from 12 species
AUGUUUACCUCUCUCUGUCUCCUGCUGGGGGAAGGAAGGGGUGACUCCUGCGUCAUUUCUCAGCAUCUCAGCAACACCAGAGGGGAUAGGAGGUCCUUCACUCUUCUCCAGUCAAGCCAGGUGAGGAAAUCGGUGGUGAGUGUUGAAGUCAGGGCUAGAACCCGGAUCAUUUUCCUUCAAGUCAUGAAUUGUGCCUCCAAACCACACAGAAACACUUCACAGACCCCAAAGGAAACGAUGAGUAGCAGAACUGAUCAUGAGUCUCCUAAGAUUGGGAAGGAAAGGAUUGGAAUUCAUUCAAAAUGAGGGAACAAAAUCAUUGAAUGAAACCCACAUUGUAGAAUCUGAGGGUGGCUAUGAAAGACGAGAACCAAAAUAAAACUGAACAAAUGAGGAACA